rnacentral:tRNA from 1 species
GAGGAUAUAGCUCAGUGGUAAAGCAUGUGCUUGGCAUGCAUGAGGUCCUGGGUUUGACCCCUAGUGCCUCCC